CAGCUGCUUUCACUAAGUUUUUGUAAUAUUUGUUAGUCUUACAUCACACAUCCUGAUGACAGUUGAUGGAUCUUCAGCCAGAUAUGUAGCGUGGCAAACCAAGCAGAGCAGCAGCCCUUCUCCUUUCAUU